AGUGGCCUCGCGCUCCUCUUCCCCGGCAGCGCUGGCAUCUACCUGUGUCCCAGCGGCAUGCACAGCACCUGUUCACACUCCCAACGUCCGACCUGGAUGGUAAAUUACAUAAUCGGGCAAAAUGAGCAAAGAUUAAGGGUUUUGAUAGGUAAUAAAUGCUAAAUUAUGGAAUAUUCCUGAACAGUUAGCCAGUCAAAAAGAAUACAGCUCUCUUUCAAUAUUGACACAUCCAGGGGCUUCGUUGAAAAUGUGCAUGCUUGGCUGACCCCAGCAGCGAGGACUGAAAUCUGAAAUGCAUUCUCACUCUGACGGACAGCAUCGUGACUAUCCAACACACAGUCUAACAGACUUCUAAUCUUGCGGCACUUACCUCCAGCUUAAGUCAGUUUUUUUUGUUGUUGUUUGUUUGUUUGUUUGUUUUUGAGACGCAGUCUCACUCUUGGUCCCCAGGCUGGAGUGCGAUGGCACGAUCUCAGCUCACUGCAACUUCUGCCUCCCGGGGUCAAGCAAUUCUCCUGCCUCGGCCCCCUGAGUAGCUGGGAUUACAGGCACCUGCCACUAUGCCCAGCUAAUUUUUGUAUUUUUAGUAGAGACCAGGUUUUACCAUGUUGGCCAGGCUGGUAUAGAACUCCUGACCUCGGGUGAUCCGCCUGCCUCAGCCUCCCAAAGUGCUGGGAUUACAGGCAUGAGCCACCGCACCCGGCCUGUUUUCACACAUUUUUGGAGCAAAGAUAGUUCACAGAGAGCAUCUGCUGCUACGAGUGGAUUCUGCAACAUAGUCAAAAAUGUGCGUUGUACUUUUCUAUUUGCUACUUAUUAAAGCACAAGAAUCAGCGGCAAUUUUCU
rnacentral:lncRNA from 1 species